CGCAAUAGCAGGAGCUACACAUGCAGUCGAGCGGUAGCACAGAGAGCUUGCUCUCGGGUGACGAGCGGCGGACGGGUGAGUAAUGUCUGGGAAACUGCCUGAUGGAGGGGGAUAACUACUGGAAACGGUAGCUAAUACCGCAUAACGUCGCAAGACCAAAGAGGGGGACCUUCGGGCCUCUUGCCAUCAGAUGUGCCCAGAUGGGAUUAGCUAGUAGGUGGGGUAACGGCUCACCUAGGCGACGAUCCCUAGCUGGUCUGAGAGGAUGACCAGCCACACUGGAACUGAGACACGGUCCAGACUCCUACGGGAGGCAGCAGUGGGGAAUAUUGCACAAUGGGCGCAAGCCUGAUGCAGCCAUGCCGCGUGUAUGAAGAAGGCCUUCGGGUUGUAAAGUACUUUCAGCGGGGAGGAAGGUGUUGAGGUUAAUAACCUCAGCAAUUGACGUUACCCGCAGAAGAAGCACCGGCUAACUCCGUGCCAGCAGCCGCGGUAAUACGGAGGGUGCAAGCGUUAAUCGGAAUUACUGGGCGUAAAGCGCACGCAGGCGGUCUGUCAAGUCGGAUGUGAAAUCCCCGGGCUCAACCUGGGAACUGCAUUCGAAACUGGCAGGCUAGAGUCUUGUAGAGGGGGGUAGAAUUCCAGGUGUAGCGGUGAAAUGCGUAGAGAUCUGGAGGAAUACCGGUGGCGAAGGCGGCCCCCUGGACAAAGACUGACGCUCAGGUGCGAAAGCGUGGGGAGCAAACAGGAUUAGAUACCCUGGUAGUCCACGCCGUAACGAUGUCGACUUGGAGGUUGUGCCCUUGAGGCGUGCUUCCGGAGCUAACGCGUUAAGUCGACCGCCUGGGGAGUACGGCCGCAAGGUUAAAACUCAAAUGAAUUGACGGGGGCCCGCACAAGCGGUGGAGCAUGUGGUUUAAUUCGAUGCAACGCGAAGAACCUUACCUACUCUUGACAUCCAGAGAACUUACCAGAGAUGCUUUGGUGCCUUCGGGAACUCUGAGACAGUGCUGCAUGCUGUCGUCAGCUCGUGUGUGAAAUGUUGGGUUAGUCCCGCAAGAGCGCAACCCUUAUCCUUUGUUGCCAGCGGUCCGGCCG
rnacentral:rRNA from 1 species